UGGGGAAUAUUGCACAAUGGGCGCAAGCCUGAUGCAGCGACGCCGCGUGGGGGAUGACGGCCUUCGGGUUGUAAACCUCUUUCAGCAGGGACGAAGCGAAAGUGACGGUACCUGCAGAAGAAGCACCGGCCAACUACGUGCCAGCAGCCGCGGUAAUACGUAGGGUGCGAGCGUUGUCCGGAAUUACUGGGCGUAAAGAGCUCGUAGGUGGUUUGUCGCGUUGUUCGUGAAAACCGGGGGCUUAACCCUCGGCGUGCGGGCGAUACGGGCAGACUAGAGUACUGCAGGGGAGACUGGAAUUCCUGGUGUAGCGGUGGAAUGCGCAGAUAUCAGGAGGAACACCGGUGGCGAAGGCGGGUCUCUGGGCAGUAACUGACGCUGAGGAGCGAAAGCGUGGGGAGCGAACAGGAUUAGAUACCCUGGUAGUCCACGCCGUAAAACGGUGGGUACUAGGUGUGGGGUUUCCUUCCUUGGGGAUCCGUGCCGUAGCUAACGCAUUAAGUACCCCGCCUGGGGGAGUACGGCCGCAAGGCUAAAACUCAAAUGAAUUGACGGGGUCAUAGCUG
rnacentral:rRNA from 1 species